GGCUCAGACGAACGCUGGCGGCAUGGAUUAGGCAUGCAAGUCGAACGAAGCAGCAAUGCUUAGUGGCGCAAGGGUGAGGAACACGUGAGUGACCUGCCCGCAAGUUUGGAACAGCUCCUGGAAACGGGAAUUAAUACCGGAUGUGAUCAUAGAGCUGCAUGGUUUUAUGAUUAAAGCAGUAAUGCGCUUGCGGAUGGGCUCGCGUCCCAUUAGCUAGUUGGUGAGGUAACGGCCCACCAAGGCCAUGAUGGGUAGCUGGUCUGAGAGGACGACCAGCCACACUGGGACUGAGAACUGCCCAGACUCCUACGGGAGGCUGCAGUCGAGAAUUUUGGGCAAUGGACGAAAGUCUGACCCAGCAAUGCCGCGUGCGGGAUGAAGGUCUUCGGAUUGUAAACCGCUGUUUGGAGGGACGAAAAUUGACGGUACUUCCAGAGAAAGCCACGGCUAACUACGUGCCAGCCGCGGC
rnacentral:rRNA from 1 species